AUGUUAUAUUCAUGCCCCAAUCAUGAUCUCUCAAGAAAAAUGAUUAUUCAAAAAAUUUAUGCUCGGCUUUCUCUCAGUAAUCGCUCCAUGCUCGAUACUUCUUGUACUGGAUCUUUUAUGAUGAAGACUAUUGAAUUCAAAUGGGAUUUAUUGGAAAGAAUUAAACGCAACUCUGAAGAUUGGGACCUCGACGAAGGUAAGGAGUCAGGUAUAACACCUAAGUUUGAUCGUGUUAAAUCCUUUAUGGAUACCGAUGCAUUUUGUGAAUUUAGCACUAAAUAUGGACUUGACUCUGAGAUAGUAGCUUCCUUUUGUGAAUCAUUUGCUAAUCAUGUUGAUCUCCCUAAGGAUAAGUGUUUUAAAUAUAAUCCUCCCAUUGAAGUAAAAGUAGUUGCACCUAUUAAAUUUGAAGAAAAGACUAUCACCUUUUGUUGUUCCUACUGCUUAUGUUGA
rnacentral:rRNA from 1 species